UCUGCCAUUAGCUGCCGCCCACAGGCCCCCGCUUCAUUUUCCAACGCCUCUUUCACGGUGCCCCUAAGAACCCCGGCCUCUCCCCGCCCCGCCGCUUCCCAUUGGCCGUCCAACGCAGCCCACGCCCUUGAUUGGUGUGGCUACAAGACCGACCGGCGUUGAUUGACAGGCUCCCCGCAGCGGUGGCCGCAGAGGGGCGAGCCAGCUCGGAUUUUUCAUUCCCAAGGAGUGUCGAAUGGAGGAGGAGGAAAAGCCCCAGAGAUCCCGCCCGAGGAGGGGCUGCAAACCCAGCGCAGGGAGCUGUGAGGAGGAAAGACCCCCCCUGUGCCAGGAGGGCGGCUGGAGAUGCAGGCAGAGCUCAGAGCUGGGGGAGAAGCCUGAUGGGGGGGAGAAGCCCCACAAGUGCCUGGAAUGUGGGAAGGGCUUCAGAUACAGGUCCGACCUGAUCUGGCACCAGGUGAUCCACAGUGGGGAAAGGCCCUACACCUGCUUGUAAUAUGGGAGGAGCUUUGGGUGGAGCUGCAACCUGAGAAAACACCAGAGCAUCCACACCGGGGAGAGGCCCUAGGAGUGUCCUGAGUGUGGGAAGAGCUUCUCCAGUAGCUCUGACUUGACCAAACACCAACAGAGACACCACUAAGGGUGGUGAGUGCCCCGAGAGCAGGAAGAGCUCCGUGCGCUGCUCCAGCUCUAUCCCCCAUGGGAGGAUCGGUGUUGGAUGAUCCCCAUGAUCCCCGUUGGGCAGAGCCUUGGUGAUCCGUGGUCCUGGUGAUCCCUGUUGGGAAGACACCUGGGUGUGGGGGCUCCACAUCUUCCUGUCUCCCUUGGGCUCCUGGAUAAACACAGGGGCAGGAGUAUCCUGGUGUCUCUGCAGGACUCCCAGGGGCACCAAGUUGGAACAGCAGGAACAAGCAGAAAUUCCAGGCUGGUGGAUGAGAUGUAUCAAAAACUCUGCAGUGGUAUCUGGAACUGUGGCUGGAACUGUGGGACAUCCAGGCAGGACAGGGGGUGUGGGGCUACAGCGUAGCAGAACACCGAGAGCAGUGCACAAGAAGCGGUGGGGGCUCCAGCAGGGGCAGGAGAAGGCAGGCUCAGGAUUCCUGGACACAGGAGCAGAUGGUGGUUGAUUUCCUAGGACUGGACUCCAGUGGUGACAGGGAAUUCUCCCCACAAUAAGCAUCAACUUGAUUCUCCUCCUUCUGAUGCCAAGAGCAAGAGAGAGCUGCUGCCCCCAGCCCUGUCCUUUACCUGCCCCCAAAACCUGCAGUUUCUUCCCCCUGUGAGAGAAAACUCCCAGAGACAAAAGAAGUGUAGCCAGGUGCUACAGUCCUCUCCUGUGGCAACUUCCUUUACUUUUUGCUUAAGUACCCAUAAGUACUAUAUGGAGCAGUUUAUAUUGAGUAUUAUCAUGCAGCACUUACAGGAUGGCCAGGGUAUCAGACCCAGCCAGCAUGGGUUUAGGAGGGGUAGGUCAUGUUUGACCAACCUGGGCUCCUUUUAUGACCAAGUGACCCAGCUGGUGGACGCAGGAAAGGCUGCGGAUGUUGUCUAUUUGAAUUUCAGCAAGGCCUCUGACACUGUCUCCCGCAACAUACUCCUGGAACAGCUGGCAGCCCAUGACUUGGACAAGAGCACUCUGUGCUGGGUUAGGAACUGGCUGCAUGACCGGGCCCAGAGAGUGGUGGUGAUGGUGCUGCAUGCAGCUGGUGGCCAGUCAGCAGUGGUGUUCCUCAGGGGUCUGUGCUGGCGCCAGUUCUGUUUAAUAUUUUUAUUGAUGACAUGGACAAGGGUAUUGAAUCUUUCAUUAGUAAGUUUGCAGACAACACUAAGCUGGGAGCGUGUGUUGACCUGUUGGAAGGGAAGAGGGCUGUGCAGAGAGACCUGGAGUGGUUGGAUGGAUGGGUGGAAUCCAAUAAGAUGAGUUUAAUAAGUUCAAGUGCUGAGUCCUGCAUUUUGGCUACAAUCAUCCCCUGCAACAUUAUAGGCUGGGCAUGGUGUGGCUGGACAGUGCUCAGGCAGAAAGGGACCUGGGGGUGCUGGUGGCAGCAACUGAACAGGAGCCAGCAGUGUGCCCUGGUGGCCAAGAAGGCCAAUGGCACCUGGCCUGGAUCAGGAAUGGUGUGGCCAGCAGGAGCAGGGAGGUCAUUCUUCCCCUGUACUGGGCACUGGUUCAGCCACACCUCGAGUGCUGUGUCCAGUUCUGGCCCUUCAGUUUAGGAAGGACGUUGGGACGCUUGAGGAGGAGGCAACGUCCAGAGGAGGCAAUGAAGCUGGUGAGGGGCUUGGAACACAAGCCCUAUGAGAAACAGCUGAGAGAACUGGGGUUGUUUGGCCUGGAGGAGACUCAGAGGUGACGUUAUUAUGCUCUACAGCUUCCUGAAAGGUGGUUGUAGUCAGGUGGGGGUCGGUCUCUUCGGACAACACCUGACAGAAUGAGAGGGGACAGUCUCAAGCUGCGUCAAGGAAAAUAUAAGUUGGAUAUUAGGAAGAAGUUUUUCACAGAGAGAGUAAUAAAGUACUGGAAUAGCCUGCCUGGGGAGGUGGUGGAGUCGCCAUCCCUGGAUGUAUUUAAAAAAAGAAUGGAUGUGGCACUCGGUGCCAUGGUUUAGUUGAGGUGUUACAGCACGGGUUGGACUCGACGAUCAGGAAGGUCUCUUCCAACCAACUAAUUCUGUGUGAUUCUGUGUGAUACCCAGUAGUUAAUUUCCUAGCAACUUAUGGAAAAAAACCGUAUGAGUAAAAAAGAAACAAAUCUAACCCCCAGAUCAUGAAACCCUCAGCCAGGCCAGACACAGAAAUCCUUUUCUCUUGACCUUGAUUUGCUUUUUAUUUUCUCUUCAUCUGAAAACACCUGAUGUUUGGGGUCAAAAUAAAGACAUUGAACUAAGACAUGGGUGAAGACAUGGGGGGGGACAUGGACAUGGUGAGACAAACAUGGAGAGUGACAUGGGGACACAUGGACAUUGAGGGGAUGUGGCCAUUUAUGGGGAUAUGGGGGGACACGAGCACAGAUGGGGGACAAUGACAGGGAUGGAAACGUGGUGAGGAGACAGCCCUGGGUGAGGACAUGGUGGGACAUGGCCAGUGACAUGUGGAGACAUGGCCAUGGCCGGUGCCAUGGGGGGAACUUGCAGGGGUUGUGGGGGAUACUGAGUUUGAGGGAGUUGAGGGUUCCUGGGAGGGACUUGGGCCUUGCUGAGGGCUUUGGGGACCCCAGGCCCAGCGGCUCCGGCUGCGCUGGGAGACCCUGGCGGAGGUUGUGGGGCAGCUGCUCAAGGACCUCCUGACCUGGACCUCCCUCUGGGCAUUGCGGUCCUGGAAGGGAAGGAAGGUCCUUGUCUCCAGGAGGGAAAUCCCAGCAGCCCCAGGGUGUUGGGGGCAGCUGAGAGGCCACAACAGGGAGGGAAAAGCCAGACAGAGCUGUCCCCCUACAGAACUGCACCCCAAAAAUUCCCCAAACUCAGGGAUUCCUCCCAGAAAAUACCUGCCAGGAGGUGGCUGAAUGAAGUAAAAGAGGGGAUGGGACCCCCAGAUGUCAUUGGAACGGGUCCCACUCCUUCUUUCUAAUCCCCGGGAUGGAGCCAAGGCGGUUUGGGCUGGAGCAGCACUGGACUCUUGGCCCAACCUUGGCAUGUCCCAUGAGCCCCCUCCUCAAAUUUCCUUGGCUGCCUAGAAGGGUCCCAGUGCCUUUUGGGGUUUGCUGAUUGCCGUGUCUGGUUUCAGGUGCCUCCCAAGGAGUCCCCAUUGUGGGAUGACAUGGCGGGGACACACGGGGGUCCGCAUUCCUGAUCCACUCUGGGGCCUAUUCUGCCCUGCCCCCCAGCAAUCACAGUCCCUUUCUGAUCCAUCCCUUCCACCCCUUCCCCCAUGUGAAAAAUGCGAAAUGAUUAAUUCAUGUUCUUAUAGUUAAUGAAAUAUUAUUGAAAACUAUAAAACUGUAUAUAUAUGUGUGUUCUAUGAAAAUGUAAGUUUCAGGACACCCUGUAACAUUUUGUUAAACCAAAAUUAUGAAAAAGCAGGCGCCACCCCAGAAACUCACAUUCAGAAAUAGACAAAAGGUUUACCGGAAACCGGCAGUCUCCUGGAGCACCGGGAGGAGACCCAUCAAGAUAAGGCGGCAGAACCAUCAACGGUUCCUGACUACUCCCUCUCUGAUCAUCAAGCAUCAUCAUCCAUAUCUCGACCAUUCAUCAGCCAUAAGGAUCUAUAGAAAUUGGACAUUAACAUAUGAACUGAGAGAAAGAACUCUUUCCAGCCUGGUCGGAGACACCCUUGAAUUUGAAUAGCUAGCCAGGAAACAAAGGAAAUAUGGGGAAAUAUUGCUGAGGGCAGAAUAAAGUGUAUAAAACCUUAGCCUCGAACCGGGCAAAUUUGUGAACCGAAGGGGAGGCAGCAGACGGCCAUGUUCUGUGUCUUACGGUUCACCCUUGGCAUUUUCCCGGGAAAAAGACUGUCAAGUAUCUCCGCUGUUGGUGGGUUUACCGAAAUUCUCUAAUUCGAUCUUUGUUAAUAAACCAAAUUAUUAUUUUAAUUAGAA